rnacentral:rRNA from 1 species
GACGAACGCUGGCGGCGUGCUUAACACAUGCAAGUCGAACGAAGUGGCGAACGGGUGAGUAACGCGUAAUCAACCUGCCCUUCAGAGGGGGACAACAGUUGGCAACGACUGCUAAUACCGCAUACUGAAGGAGGGGAUUGCGUCUGGUGAGCUAGUUGGAGGGGUAACGGCCCACCAAGGCGAUGAUCAGUAGCACGUCGGAGGGGAUGAACGACCACAGUGGGAGGGAGACAAGGCCCAGACUCCUACGGGAGGCAGCAGUGGGGAAUCUUCCGCAAUUGACGAAAGGCUGGCGGGGCAACGCCGCGUGAGUGAUGACGGCCUUCGGGUUGUAGAGCGCUGUUAAUCGGGACGCGGUACCGGAAUAGAAAGCCACGGCUAACUACGUGCCAGCAGCCGCGGUAAUUC